AGGAGCAACAGCCCCAGUGGCGGGGCCUGCUCUGGAAACCUGGAUUCAGCCCCCGCAGGAACUCCGGAGCUCUCCGUCUGCAGGGCCUGGAGGCUCUGGGGCGGG
rnacentral:pre_miRNA from 1 species